CAGAAAUGCCCAUAAAGAUGAUUUGGUCACUAGAGGAAUACUUCAAAAGUUGAGGUUUAUGAACUGAAUAAAGUAGAUUGUGAUGACUGAUGAGUUAUUCCCUAUGAACCAGUCUACAUAAAACAAAUGUCCAUAAAGAUGAUUUGGUCACUAGAGGAAUACUUCAAAAGUUGAUGUUUAUGAACUGAAUAAAGUAGAUUGUGAUGACUGAUGAGUUAUUCCCUAUGAACCAGUCUACAUAAAACAAAUGUCCAUAAAGAUGAUUUGGUCACUAGAGGAAUACUUCAAAAGUUGAGGUUUAUGAACUGAUUCUGCGGUAGAAACUGACUACAGGAAUUCGAAGUCCUAGAAUCCUUCUGCAACCAUUACCACCCGCCACUCAAAUUGGUCCAUUUUUGCAGCCUGUCUUUCCAGGAGAGCCUUCUUUUUGUGGGGCCCUUUCUAAAUUUGUAUUCGAUUAAAGGAAAGUGAAUUUAUUCAACAAAAUUCUAAUAACGUAGCUUUA